GAUGAACGCUAGCGGGAGGCCUAACACAUGCAAGCCGAGCGGUAUUUGUCUUUCGGGACAGAGAGAGCGGCGUACGGGUGCGGAACACGUGUGCAACCUGCCUUUAUCAAGAGGAUAGCCUUUCGAAAGGAAGAUUAAUACUCUAUAAUAUAUUGAUUGGCAUCAGUUAAUAUUGAAAGUUACGGCGGAUAAAGAUGGGCACGCGCAAGAUUAGCUAGUUGGUGAGGUAACGGCUCACCAAGGCGAUGAUCUUUAGGGGGCCUGAGAGGGUGAUCCCCCAAACUGGUACUGAGACACGGACCAGACUCCUACGGGAGGCAGCAGUGAGGAAUAUUGGUCAAUGGGUGCAAGCCUGAACCAGCCAUCCCGCGUGAAGGACGACUGCCCUAUGGGUUGUAAACUUCUUUUGUAUAGGGAUAAACCUCUCCUCGUGAGGAGAGCUGAAGGUACUAUACGAAUAAGCACCGGCUAACUCCGUGCCAGCCGCCGCAGUAA
rnacentral:rRNA from 1 species